GACGAACGCUGGCGGCGUGCUUAACACAUGCAAGUCGAACGGUAAGGCCCUUCGGGGUACACGAGUGGCUAACGGGUGAGUAACACGUGGGUGAUCUGCCCUGCACUUCGGGAUAAGCCUGGGAAACUGGGUCUAAUACCGGAUAGGAUCACUGCCUGCAUGGGUGGUGGUGGAAAGCUUUUGCGGUGUGGGAUGGGCCCGCGGCCUAUCAGCUUGUUGAUGGGGUGAUGGCCUACCAAGGCGACGACGGGUAGCCGGCCUGAGAGGGUGACCGGCCACACUGGGACUGAGAUACGGCCCAGACUCCUACGGGAGGCAGCAGUGGGGAAUAUUGCACAAUGGGCGCAAGCCUGAUUCAGCGACGCCGCGUGAGGGAUGACGGCCUUCGGGUUGUAAACCUCUUUCAGCACCGACGAAGCGCAAGUGACGGUAGGUGCAGAAGAAGGACCGGCCAACUACGUGCCAGCCGCCGCCGUAA
rnacentral:rRNA from 1 species